rnacentral:lncRNA from 1 species
AAACACACUAUCCUAUUACAGUGCUUGGAAAUAACCGCCCUAACGGCGUUUCGCUUCGAAGAGCUGUUAAGCCCCCUGACAUUCCAACAACACACACCUAUCAUAUUAAAAACCUAAAGACACCUGAAACCCACCACCCAAAAUGGUGCCCUAACCUCCUGCGAGGACCCCCCGUCUACGCACGCCGCGCCAGAAACUCCUCGAAAUUCCUCGCCUCGGCU